AGCUCCAAUAGUGUAUCUUAAUGUUGUUGCUGUUAAAAAGCUCGUAGUUGAAUUUCUGGCGCCCUAGCUAAGGUUUCACCGAGGCAGGGGCGUCAUCCGCGUUGAACGCAUAUAUGCCUUAAAAGCUGUAUGUUGAAGACGUAUUUUACUUUGAAGAAAUUAGAGUGUUCCAGGCAAGCAAUGCUUGAAUAUUACAGCAUGGAAUAAUGGAAUAGGACUAUCCAUUCUGUUGGUUAAAUGGAUUAGUAAUGAUUAACAGGGACAGUUGGGGGCAUUCGUACUGGGCAGUCAGUGGUAAAAUACUAUGACCUGCUCAAGACGCACUAAUGCGAAAGCAUUUGCCAAGGAUGUUUUCA
rnacentral:rRNA from 1 species